ACGAAAUGAGAACUCACUAGCCAUUUUUACUUCUAUUUCAAAAGUACAGUUAACUUUUAAAAUAUGGACUAAAAUCGCACUUUUGACACGAAAGUUGACACAAAGUUAUAAAGGCGAGUGAGAUCUCAUUUUGUACGCAUUAUAAAUAUUUUCGAUUUAACUAGAAAAG